rnacentral:lncRNA from 1 species
AUAUAUUUAAUUAUUACUUGUCGUAUAUGGAUUUUCCAUUUUUUAAUUUUAGUACCUACCUUUUGUGCUACACCUGUUCUUUCUACGUGUGCUACGCCUGUUACAUCUUCAGCUGUCACGUCAAUUCCAUCUGUACCACCUUCAAACAGUAAAUUUAUGAAUCUAGAAUGUCUCUCAUUGAUUAUUGAGUUCUUCUUAUUCCUAUUUAUAUUAUCUAUUUAAUACUUUUGUGUUUUGUUAUAUGAAGCUUAUAGGUAAUUUCCUACUUAAAAUUAAAAUCAUUUACUAAAAGCCAAGAGAUAGAGUAAUUACUAUGUUUCAAAACAUUUUUUUUUUUUAUUUUUUUUUUUAUUAGGUUGGUGAGUUAAAUAUGAUCAUUUAAAUGAGAAAAUGGAUACUAGUGCAAUUUGUAAUUUGGGUGUUAUAACAUCACAACCACAUCUAUGGCCAACUCUAAGGUCACGUUAUUUUGUUUGGCAGUGUUUUGGAAUCAAGUUAUGGCAAAAUUUUGUGUAUAAAAUAUAACAAUUACAUUUAAAAAGUGCUUAUUUCUGACAAAAA